CUUCGUCGUCGUCGUCGUCGUCGUCGUCGUCGUCGUCAUCGUCGUUGUUGUCCGCCGACAAUAACGUGUCUCUGCAAGAGGGGACAGACUCGGACAACUGGCCUCCACUCUUCGUUCUUGCUUGCUCUGACUCACGAUCCUGAGAAUGAGGUCUGACCUAGGAGAAGUAUCGCUCUUCGGAGAUGGCCUGGCAGUUUUUCAUUACCGGUGAUCUCCUCUUGGGAACCAGCCGGAAGACCAGAGUGUACAAUUACACCAGGUGGGGGAUAAAUAAGGAGUAGGUGGCACGACGAGAUGAGGCGAGAAACAAGACGGAAGUGGGUCAGCGGGAUUCUCGGUCGUGAGGGUCCGGGUUCAUUUCUCCUCUUCAAGAGAGUCACGGUGAGCUCCGGCUAACGAACUAAAAUCUACAAAAGUGUUUGCGAUCGAGAUCAAGUAAAUUAACAAACAGAUUAACUUUGUAAAAUAAAGAAGAAAGUUUUAACGCGUUCGUCACCACUCUAGGACAAUAUAGGACUUUUUAUCUCUAUCGUUUAUAAUUCCACAGUCUAUAGACGAAUGAUAUGGUAACGAAUGCGUUUAAAGAUGAUCCUUAGAUGAAAUUGAAAUAAAAUAUUCCUUUAUUUUAAGAGAUUACCUUGAUACUUGCUAAAGUAUUCUAAACUUCAAAAUAUUCGAUUCGAUGUAUAACAAUGAUAACGAGUUGUUGUUUGCCUGCAUUCGGUUUGUUGUUCUUCUUGAAAUAAAUAAUUCUUCUUCUUUUGAUAAUUCUCAAUUAUAUUUUAUACAUACAUAGACUUUUUCGAAUAUUUACAAAUAGUUCAUUCUUCUCGUUCGAUUAGCUCCUUCAUUUUGGAACACCCGUGCAAGGAGGAACACCAGGACUUCUCGAAUCUUACACAGGUUCGUUUACCUCCCCGACAUUAACGCUUAACUGCUAAUGAUUAUUUUACACUCAACAUCGAUAAACACUCAGGUAGAGCUAAUAAAUUUUCUAGCGUUUUGUUAAGAUUUUUCGCGUUUUCAUUCUACUUCCACUUUUCUUUUUCUUCUUUCUUAAUCUCGUUUCUGCUUGAUACACAGACGCAUUUUUAUUUUUCUUGAAAAUUCGUACCCCGAUCACGUUUGCAUUUUUGCAAAAUAUAGAAAAAUCUCUCUCAAUCUCUCUCUCUCUCUUUUUUUACGUGUUUCCCCUCUCUUUUGUUUUCUCGAUAAAAAAAUAUGUGCAUCGUAUAUUCUUGUUUGAACUUAGCUGGCCCCCACGAAACACGAUACCACUGUUCAAUCGUUGUCGAUCUAAAUUUUGAAAAAUUUGUCGUUACCGGGAAAGGACGGAUCUUAAUAUUUGUAUCGUGUGACGAUUACAAUAUUUGACAAUUGAACUCCAAUAAAAUAAAGUAUCCGGAUUACAUUUUUAAACUCCAAUUGCUUAAAUUCUCAAUUUUUAUUUCUAUAGUUUUUGAUUCUCUGCAGUCUGAUUUUUCUGACUACAAAGUUUUGGAUUACUGGACAGUGGUGCCAUGCGUAUAUGGUGUAUUUUACAAUCCACUUUGCAUCUAAUUUAUCACCAAUGUGUCUUCUAAGUCACGAUUUCAGGAAAUGCUCAGAACUCCAGCAAGAACUUCGACUCCAAAAGAAAGUUUACAAAUUGCGUUCAGCUUCGUCGAUAAAACAGGAAACAGAAGUAUACAAUGCUUGUACUGUAAACAAAUAUAAAAUAUAGUAGAAUUGAUUUAGGAGAAUACGAAAGAGAGCCAGCGAUCUCGUAUAAUAAAAUAUACACACCGAUUCUUCGCGCAUCAAGAAUGGACGUAAGAAAAACGCUUGCUCUACGCUCGAAAUACAGUCGCGGUUAAUCUCAGCAAGAAUAAAAAUCUUAAUAACGAUAGUAAUACUCUCUCGUUAACUACGCAACAGUCUAUAAAGCCUCUUAUUUUCGUCUGAAUCACGUAUCCUCGUUCUUCGCGCUACAAUCCUCGUUCGUUACUCUCUAGAGCAGAGAUUCUCAAAAUUAGAAUUCCAAUAUUUCAGAAAUUCAAAGCUAUGGAGCUUUUGAAUCGUGCACCUUUGAAAAAUGAAACAUUGAGAAUCCCUGCGCCAAAGCUAAGCGCCUCGAAUUAAUUUCAUAGAAUGCUUGCAUUGUUCCCAUCGAAAGACAAUCGGACAAGAAUCUCUUUGCGCACCUCGUCGAGAACAGAACGAUGCCUAUGUAGAGAAUCGAUCGACUCUCCUAGCAAAGUGACGAUCAAGCAGAACACAGCUUGUUAAAAAUAAAUCGCUCUAUACGCAUUUACAUGAAUUUAAAAAUAUAAAUACAAAAUCUUCCCUAAAUUCGUACGUUUGUGCUCUCAGUCCGUUCGAAAUGUCCAAGCUUUUUAAACGGAAUACACGCCGGAUCACGAGGAUCUGAACCGACAAUAACUUGGGCACGUCGAAUAUACAAUUGAGACGAACGAGAUCUUCGAAGCAUUUGACGCGUUUACACUCGGCGACGCGUAUAUCGAGUUAAACAUUGAGAUCGGUAGCUAAAAUAUAACAGUAUAUAAUAUUACCUUGAGUAUUAUUCGUUCCUUUACAAACUACUUAGGUCGUAGUCGAAUCGAAACUCGGUUGGAAUGUACAUACGGGUCAGCUAAAUACAAUUUUAAUCCUUGUCCGUCAGACGACCGGUCGCUCGUUUCUUUUGUUCAUCUAAUUAAUUACGUGUGAUUUACUUAGAGCCUCGGGAGGUACAACUCAAGAAUUCUCCUGUCAUCUUUUGUCUACAUUUUAACGCGUUCUAUACCUUGCAAAUUGUCGACGAAUCAAAGUCAAAAAAAAAAAA